rnacentral:rRNA from 1 species
UACGUAGGAGGCAAGCGUUUGUCCGGAAUUACUGGGUGUAAAGCGCGUGUAGGCGGCAGGCCAAGUCUGUGGUGAAAUCGCUCGGCUCAACUGGGCGGGGUCCAUGGAAACUGGUCAGCUGGAGGACGGUAGAGGUGAGUGGAAUUCCCGGUGUAGUGGUGAAAUGCGUAGAGAUCGGGAGGAACACCCGUGGCGAAGGCGGCUCACUGGGCCUGUACUGACGCUGAGGAACGAAAGCGUGGGGAGCGAACAGG